rnacentral:rRNA from 1 species
GGCGGACGGGUUAGUAACGCGUGGGAACGUGCCCUUCUCUACGGAAUAGCCUCUGGAAACGGAGAGUAAUACCGUAUACGCCCUUUGGGGGAAAGAUUUAUCGGAGAAGGAUCGGCCCGCGUUAGAUUAGGUAGUUGGUGGGGUAACGGCCUACCAAGCCUACGAUCUAUAGCUGGUUUUAGAGGAUGAUCAGCAACACUGGGACUGAGACACGGCCCAGACUCCUACGGGAGGCAGCAGUGGGGAAUCUUAGACAAUGGGGGCAACCCUGAUCUAGCCAUGCCGCGUGAGUGAUGAAGGCCUUAGGGUCGUAAAGCUCUUUCGCCUGUGAUGAUAAUGACAGUAGCAGGUAAAGAAACCCCGGCUAACUCCGUGCCAGCAGCCGCGGUAAUACGGAGGGGGUUAGCGUUGUUCGGAAUUACUGGGCGUAAAGCGCGCGUAGGCGGAUUAGAAAGUUGGGGGUGAAAUCCCGGGGCUCAACCCCGGAACUGCCUCCAAAACUGCUAGUCUAGAGUUCGAGAGAGGUGAGUGGAAUUCCGAGUGUAGAGGUGAAAUUCGUAGAUAUUCGGAGGAACACCAGUGGCGAAGGCGGCUCACUGGCUCGAUACUGACGCUGAGGUGCGAAAGUGUGGGGAGCAAACAGGAUUAGAUACCCUGGUAGUCCACACCGUAAACGAUGAAUGCCAGUCGUCGGAUAGUAUACUAUUCGGUGACACACCUAACGGAUUAAGCAUUCC